UGCGCAGGCGGGCUUGUAAGUCAGUGGUGAAAUACUGCCGCUCAACGGUAGAACUGCCAUUGAUACUGUAAGUCUUGAAUAUGGUUGAGGUAGGCGGAAUGUGUCGUGUAGCGGUGAAACGCAUAGAUAUGACACAGAACGCCGAUUGCGAAGGCAGCUUACUAAGCCAUUAUUGACGCUGAGGCACGAAAGCGUGGGUAGCGAACAGGAUUAGAUACCCUGGUAGUCC
rnacentral:rRNA from 1 species